AAGAAACCAAGAAGAAAAGCACACACACUACACACUAAUACAAGCCACUAGCGUGCGAGCUGUGCGUAGGAAGAGACUGCACGCUUCGGUUUCUGCAGUAGCAACCACCUCCGGGAGACAAGGCGCAUUCGUCUCCUGUUCAUCGAGGAAUCGAAGGGCGCGCCGCGGCGAAAGCCGCAGAUAACGGUUUUCGCUCGCGCACGCAGAUAUCGUUGCGUCUGCAUCUCGGACUGCACUCAUAACACCCAUAAAUCUUCCCGGCUAUCUUGUCGUCGCUGACACGUUUACAGUGCCUCGGGAUAUCCCUACAGCAUACACACUCGAUGCUGUCAAACUUGGAAUGUGGAUACCACGGAAGAACCAGCCAGCAGCAGUAGCAGCAGCAGCAGGGCUUCAGAAUGCUGCUGCUGCUGCUGCCGAUGAUGCUGCUGCUGUUAAUGAUCCCUCUUGCCCUCAGAAGCCGACCGCUACAGAAUUCAGUGACGAAUUGUGGUGUCGAUGUGCGCGCCCGGAUGAAGCGGUGUCCUCAGUGCUAUCUCUUUUUCUUAUCCCUUAACCCUUUUUCUCAUAUAGGGUAGCGAACCGGACACGCGUAAGGCUGACCUCCCUGCUUUCUCUCUCUCUCUCUCUCCCUGUUGUAUUGAACAGUAUGUAGACAUUAAAUGGCCAAAAGGAAAAGCCUACAAGAAAGCGAGACAGACUGCAAUAAGUCUACAGACAACCUAACAGGUUGUCUGAAUUCGCUUUGGCAAGAGUCGCUGCAGAGACGUCUGCUCCAGGUGACGUCGUAGUAAAUGCGUUGCGCUUUCACCUCUGGGCCGUGCGAGGCCAUGGGCGAUGGCGCUCGUCGGAAUGGGCGAAGGAAACAAGAACGGGAAGCGAGGGCCGCAAGUGGUCGACCGACGACGUCCGGGCGUGGGCGGACGAGACCCGAGGCGGUGGCGGGCUCCCUCGACGCCGACGCUUCGAAACAGCCGCGCCCCGCGGAAGAAGACACCAGACAGGCUGGGCAUAUCCUCCCUCACCUAUGUGACCCCUCACCCAACUUUCAAACGACAGCUGUUUUGCCGACGUUGCGUUGCUCCGCCGCUUCUCCUACAGCGGCGAAGCUCUGAGGGUCGAUAUACCGUUGUCCAAGCAAACGUUAGCCAAGCUGUUUAACGAAAAAGAAAUUAAUAAUAACACGGUAUAAGAUACAAUCUUGAGAUUGUUUGCACCGUUUUCUUUUUUUUUUUUUUUUGAACAGCUUGGCUAACGUAAGCUGGGGCGCCCUAUAUACGAGGGCGAAUCAGAAGGACUUUGCCCCUAUAUUUUACUAGCCAAUAUAAGGUACAUAUAGGCAGUUACAAAUAUACGUACUAUUCUACGUACCUUACACUAUUUUCCCACAUGGUCCCCACACCGGUUCAUACGUUUAUGCCAGCGCAGCACUAAAUUUGAGACUCCUCUGCUGUAGAAUUCGUCCGGCUGACUGUGGAAUCGUUCCUACUAUCCUCGUUCGUACAGCAGGACGAUCGUAUCGACGUGACAAGUGCGGCUUAUCUAGUACGGGAAAGCAUAAAGUCGUGCGAGUUCAGUCCCAUUAAUCGCCGGGAGGUGUUAUAUAGAAAAUUAAGAGAGGCACAUACAAAGGAAAUUCGCAUUUUAUUGCGAUUUCGGGCGAAUUAUCGCCGUCGCCGUCGUCGAGAUGUUCCGCAUGAAGUCCAAGUGCGAUAAGAAAUAUUGAGCGGCCUGCGCGCCGUACUGUGUGGGUGCGAGGUCACGCGCGCGGGGGCCGCUUUUAAACAUAGCGGCCUGAUGCACGCCCAGUGUUGGAGGUUACGUGAUCGAGCGCGUGCUAUAGGAGAUGAGAGCCAGGGAGAGCGCGCGUCUCAUAUACGCCUGACCGUGGCUGCGCAUGGAUGCGCGCAGCUGAGCGAGUCGGAAUGUCUGGUGUUAUGAUCGACCUAAGUUUUCCAAGAAGCCAUCGACUACCGCAUCUGGUGACGGAGGGACGGUCCACCAGCAACACGCAGCUGUCACGGUAGUUGUUCACGCCUCAUCAUUCACUUCUUUUCAGGACAGCAACGGCGUCCUCCUGAACGUCACAAAGUGGCCACUUAUCGGUGAAAGGGCCCUCGUCGAGAACUUCCGGGGAAAGCAUCGAUGACAGGCGGUUGCCUCCUAUUUUGCCACGUUGGAGACAGGUGCGACACGUUGAAGCACAACGAGCAGCGCAUAGAAGACAGGAGUACAACGAGCAGCGCAUAUAGAAGAUGGGAGCACAACGAGCAGCACACUGAUGACAGCACCACGAGCAACACAGUGGAGACCAUGGUGAGGGGCGACAGAGGUGGUGAACGAUUCGGCGUUUGUGCCUGCCCAGUGGAUUACCUCAACGAGGGAAAGAUGGGUUAUUUAAGGCCGUCCUGGCCCCAGUGUUAAAUCAUAACCGCUCGAGACUAGGAUAGAAGUCACAAACAUGUACCAAUGAAGUGAAUACAAUCUUUCUUUUUUUUCUUUUUUCAUCAUCACGA